rnacentral:tRNA from 1 species
GGAUGGGUGGCCGAGUGGUCUAAGGCGGCAGUCUUGAAAACUGCUGUACGGGAAACCGUACCGGGGGUUCGAAUCCCUCCCCAUCCG